CGCUUUUCACUUAUCACAAUUAUAUGACGACAUUACAUUUCAAUUAUUUUGGCAACCACAAACUAUAAACAUACACACAUGCAUACAUAUGUAAUUAAGGGACUCGCAAACAAAGUCAUCCCUUAAAUAUUACGUUAAAUUAAUAAACAACGCAGAAAUCAAAUAUGUUUGCUUACUCUUUAAGCAAAUAAUUUCUCUGUUUAAAUAACAAAGUCAAGGAAAUUUUGGCACCUUCCUUUCUUUUCUUUGGCACAAGCAAGCAAAAGAAAAAAACAAAAGUUACAACUGUUUAAAAUCAAAUGCAAUAAAAUAAAUGAGAGGAGAGAAUGAUUCUCAGCGCAACCGUAGGCAAUGCAUGCAAAUGCACUGAGUGCGCGCCGUUAUUUGUGUUACGUCGGCAAAAAUAAGUUUCAAGAAGAAAGAAGUGCGUGACAGUGCGUAAUUAAUAACUUAAAGAAAUAACCAAUUUAUUGGGAAUAAAAAUUUAAAAUUUGUGCAAAUAAGUGGUGUGAAUGUGUGAAUAGAUUUUAAUACUCAAUGUCAAUCAAAUUAAAAUUGCAGCAAUGGUUUGUGAAAAUAUGAGAAGCGGCAUAUUUUAAAUGAAUGAAAUGAAAUGAAUUUAUACCAGAAAUGAUUACCGGGAAAAUGCUGUUGGCUAUAAGGAGCAAUAAGUGCAGAGAACAAUACGAAUAGCCGAAUUCCAGUACAGAUCAUCUUCUAUAAGUUCUAAAGUCACGUUUAUUAUGUUAAUGGAAGCAACAGAAAAUAGUAUGCACUUCAAUGCGAAUGGAAAAAACUAAGAAACAGUUGGUGGGCAACUGUCGCAGUAAGCGACCCCAAAGUGACGGCAGGAGUCUUUCAUUUCGAUUUCGCGGUUACGAGGUAGAUAAAUGCAUGUAACUUCGCAGGCCUUGACGCUGACAUGUUGGAAGUUCUGAUCGACUCCAUCUACAAAUUCGUGGAACAUAAAGUCGAGUCGUAAUGCUGACAAACAAGAGUUGUAGUUGGAGGCACCAUUCAUUUUACUAAAUUGGAUGUCAUAUUUGUAUUAGGCGAGGCAAGGGAACACAAUCAUGAAAGCUCACAAGGUUUUAUUAUUGACAUAUAAGAAUCAUCGUUUGACGUGUGGUCAUCCCACGCCCGGAACUACUAAGUCUUCACACUCGUUUAAAAGAACAAGUAAUGCAGCACGCUGGUCGCCGACAAACAUUACACGCCAGACAAAGCGCAUAUGGAGAAUCUGCGCUUCAUUAUUCAUUGCAUAUGUAUAACUCUAUAUUUAGUUAUAAUCAAUACUUUUUUUAAAUAAAAAAUAAGAAAAUAAAAGGCAAUAAAGAAAAGGUAAUGAAAACAGUCGAAGGACACUCAAGAAUAAACACAAUAAG